rnacentral:rRNA from 1 species
UACAGAGGGUGCGAGCGUUAAUCGGAUUUACUGGGCGUAAAGCGUGCGUAGGCGGCUUAUUAAGUCGGAUGUGAAAUCCCCGAGCUUAACUUGGGAAUUGCACUCGAUACUGGUGAGCUAGAGUAUGGGGGAGGAUGGUAGAAUUCCAGGUGUAGCGGUGAAAUGCGUAGAGAUCUGGAGGAAUACCGAUGGCGAAGGCAGCCAUCUGGCCUAAUACUGACGCUGAGGUACGAAAGCAUGGGGAGCAAACAGGAUUAGAUACCCUGGUAGUCC